rnacentral:rRNA from 1 species
AUACGUAGGGGGCGAGCGUUGUCCGGAAUGAUUGGGCGUAAAGGGCGCGUAGGCGGCGCGGUAAGUCUGGAGUGAAAGUCCUGCUUUCAAGGUGGGAAUUGCUUUGGAUACUGCCGCGCUUGAGUGCAGGAGAGGUUAUCGGAAUUCCCAGUGUAGCGGUGAAAUGCGUAGAGAUUGGGAGGAACACCAGUGGCGAAGGCGACUUACUGGACUGUAACUGACGCUGAGGCGCGAAAGUGUGGGGAGCAAACAGGAUUAGAUACCCUGGUAGUCCACACUGUAAACGAUGAAUGCUAGGUGUAGGGGGUAUCGACCCCUUCUGUGCCGCAGUCAACACAAUAAGCAUUCCGCCUGGGGAGUACGGCCGCAAGGUUGAAACUCAAAUGAAUUGACGGGG